CAGUAGCCACGGGAAUACGAAGGGGGCUAGCGUUGCUCGGAAUUACUGGGCGUAAAGGGAGCGUAGGCGGGUCGUUUAGUCAGAGGUGAAAUCCCGGGGCUCAACCUCGGAACUGCCUUUGAUACUGGCGACCUUGAGUAUGGGAGAGGUGAGUGGAACUCCGAGUGUAGAGGUGAAAUUCGUAGAUAUUCGGAAGAACACCAGUGGCGAAAGCGACUCACUGGCCCAUUACUGACGCUGAGGCUCGAAAGCGUGGGGAGCAAACAGGAUUAGAUACCCCGGUAGUCCCUGUCUUUAUACA
rnacentral:rRNA from 1 species